AAGCUAGAAAUAUUUCCGUUCAUCUCCAACUACGUUGGUCCAGGAUACUGAGCUUGAUGAACACACCAUUAAACGUGAGACUUCAGCAAGAGCAGCCACGCACAGUAAAGUUCAUCCGGCUGUGUGGAAACAUCAUUGGUUCAUCUGUCUCAUUGAGGUUAUGAACGACCCAAAGUUGCCUUCUGAUGCUGAAACAAUAAACAGACGUCCUGCCUCAAACUGGUGUAAACCUCAGACUUCCAUCUGUUCACUAUUUCAUUGACAACUCAUAAUCCCAUUCACCGAAGUACUGGUAUACGCCUCGGCGAGGUCAUCUCUCAAAGGGUGACUACAACAAUAUUUAAGGAUGAUUUCAGGGUGGCUUAUUUGUCCCCUUUUUAAUUGAGAUGUAAGGUUUUUAUCACACGGCGACAGAUCGGGCUGUCGGAAUUUAGCGAACUCUCUUCACGAAGCAAGAACCAGACCGGACUAUAGCUGUUUUACAAACUUUGAUCCAGACGGCACUUCCUUUCCGCCAUUUCCUUCCUCUAAUAUUUAUUAUACCUAUCUCCCACAAUUCCGGGAGUACCAGAAUCAGUUUCCUGUUCCUUGCUUUGUGCCGCCUCCGGUAAACAUCGGCAGAUACAAUUACAAACCAAGUCAAGGGAUUACGCAAACAAACACAAUAAGUCAAAGUGUUCGAGAAUCCAAAUAAUUGUCUUCGUGAAGUAAAUAAACAUCUUCCAGGAGUUUGAGACUACAAUGGACUUACAUUGGUUGAACCCCAACUGCCCUGAAUUUCUUUGUCCAAUGCGUAGGCUGGAGAACCUGCUUUGGAGAGACUAUGUCAAUGAAAAGCCCAACGUGGCACAUUUGCCAAGGCAGGUUUCACAGGCCGCCUAUAGUUCAAAGGUACAUGCGUCAGUGUCCAGUGAACUCUCUGUGUGCCGCAAGGUGUUCACCCAAUUUUUCACACUUUGACUGGUCCCCUUAUGAAGCUUCUUACUCUGGUCCAGAGCACAUGUGCUACAUACGUCAUCGAAACUUUGGCUAACAUUAGAAGGACAUCAGAACUUAGUGGCACAAUAACGUUAAAUGUAGUCCCUCUCGUCUGCUCAAGUUUACCGUAUUUAAGAUUGUUUGAAAUGUUGAAUUAAAAGAAGAGUUCCCA